rnacentral:rRNA from 1 species
GAUGAACGCUAGCGGCAGGCCUAAUACAUGCAAGUCGAACGAUACUUUCCAGCUUGCUGGAAAGGAAAGUGGCGCACGGGUGCGUAACGCGUAUGCAACCUACCUUAAUCAGGGGGAUAGCCCGAAGAGAUUCGGAUUAACACCGCAUAAAAUCACAGUACAGCAUUGUACAAUGAUCAAAUAUUUAUAGGAUUAAGAUGGGCAUGCGUGACAUUAGCUAGUUGGCGGGGUAACGGCCCACCAAGGCGACGAUGUCUAGGGGAUCUGAGGGGAUGACCCCCCACACUGGUACUGAGACACGGACCAGACUCCUACGGGAGGCAGCAGUAAGGAAUAUUGGUCAAUGGAGGCAACUCUGAACCAGCCAUGCCGCGUGCAGGAAGACAGCCCUCUGGGUCGUAAACUGCUUUUAUUCGGGAAUAAACCUACUUACGUGUAAGUAGCUGAAUGUACCGAAGGAAUAAGGAUCGGCUAACUCCGUGCCAGCAGCCGCCGUAA